CAAGGAGGUAGAAUCAGGAUGGUGCUGUCAUAUGGCUUAUCUAAUCACUUCUCCUGAUGGCUCCAUAAGAAUGAAGCUCUGUGCAUUCAUUCAUCCUGUUUGCAAGCAUGAAGUUCUGAUCCACUAAGCUUAGACUCAACUCAAAGUCUCUAUGGGAGAUUUAUGUAUUACUUAUUCUAGGCCUGGAACUGCUACCUGGACCCCAUAUCUGUAAACAGAGAAUCCAUCAUCCUGGGGGAGACAAGGCUACUUGAAUCAAAACUACCUUAGUAAUUAUUGAGAAUGAGAGCAAGACAAGCAGAAAAGAAGCUUCAACCCACUCAGGGCCCCUGCAGGGUCUGCACGUACAAUUACAGGUCAUCAUUUGCUUUUCAUAUUGAUGUUCAGAAAACAUUAAGAGAAGUUCA